CAGGCGGUUUGUUAAGUCAGAUGUGAAAUCCCCGGGCUCAACCUGGGAACUGCAUCUGAUACUGGCAAGCUUGAGUCUCGUAGAGGGGGGUAGAAUUCCAGGUGUAGCGGUGAAAUGCGUAGAGAUCUGGAGGAAUACCGGUGGCGAAGGCGGCCCCCUGGACGAAGACUGACGCUCAGGUGCGAAAGCGUGGGGAGCAAACAGGAUUAGAUACCCUGGUAGUCCACGCCGUAAACGAUGUCGACUUGGAGGUUGUGCCCUUGAGGCGUGGCUUCCGGAGCUAACGCGUUAAGUCGACCGCCUGGGGAGUACGGCCGCAAGGUUAAAACUCAAAUGAAUUGACGGGGGCCCGCACAAGCGGUGGAGCAUGUGGUUUAAUUCGAUGCAACGCGAAGAACCUUACCUGGUCUUGACAUCCACGGAAGUUUUCAGA
rnacentral:rRNA from 1 species